rnacentral:RNase_P_RNA from 1 species
UGAGUAAGACAAAUGAUCGCGGCUGCCUCAGGGCAGACGAGGAAAGUCCGAGCUCCACAGGGCAGGGUGCUGGGUAAUACCCAGUGGAGGCGACUCCAAGGAUAGUGCAACAGAGAGAUACCGCAUAUCCGGAUAUCAGAUGUCAGAUAUCAGAGGUGGGAAGCAUAGAUUGCAGCCUCUAAUAUUAAGCCUCUUAUAUCCGGUAUGCAAGGGUGGAAAGGUGAGGUAAGAGCUCACCAGCAUCCAGGCGACUGGAAUGGCUAUGUAAACCCCAUCCGGAGCAAGACCGAAUAGGGGACAUAAAAAGCGGUUGCCCGCCGCGUCCCGGGA